UUACUGUAAGAAUAAGCACCGGCUAAUUCCGUGCCAGCAGCCGCGGUAAUACGGAAGGUGCAAGCGUUAUCCGGUUUUAUUGGGUUUAAAGGGUGCGUAGGCGGCUUAUUAAGUCAGUUGUGAAAUCCUAGUGCUUAACGCUAGAACUGCAAUUGAUACUAUUAGGCUUGAGUUAAGAAUAGGUAAGUAGAAUUUAUGGUGUAGUAGUGAAAUGCUUAGAUAUCAUAAGGAAUACCAAUAGCGUAGGCAGCUUACUGGUCUUUAACUGACGCUGAGGCACGAAAGCGUGGGGAGCAAACAGGAUUAGAUACCCUGGUAGUCC
rnacentral:rRNA from 1 species